UUAGCCGGGCGACGGUUGUCCCGGUUUAAGCAUGUAGGCUGGUUAUCCAGGCAAAUCCGGAUAAUCAAGGCUGAGGUGUGAUGACGAGGCACUACGGUGCUGAAGUAACAAAUGCCCUGCUUCCAGGAAAAGCCUCUAAGCAUCAGGUAACAUCAAAUCGUACCCCAAACCGACACAGGUGGUCAGGUAGAGAAUACCAAGGCGCUUGAGAGAACUCGGGUGAAGGAACUAGGCAAAAUGGUGCCGUAACUUCGGGAGAAGGCACGCUGGUGUGUAGGUGAAGUCCCUGCGGGUGGAGCUGAGACCAGUCGAAGAUACCAGCUGGCUGCAA
rnacentral:rRNA from 1 species